rnacentral:rRNA from 1 species
UGAAACAUCUAAGUACCCCGAGGAAAAGAAAUCAACCGAGAUUCCCCCAGUAGCGGCGAGCGAACGGGGAGCAGCCCAGAGUCUGAAUCAGCUUGUGUGUUAGUGGAACGGUCUGGAAAGUCCGACGGUACAGGGUGAUAGUCCCGUACACCAAAAUGCACAGGUUGUGAACUCGAAGAGUAGGGCGGGACACGUGGUAUCCUGUCUGAAUAUGGGGGGACCAUCCUCCAAGGCUAAAUACUCCUGACUGACCGAUAGUGAACCAGUACCGUGAGGGAAAGGCGAAAAGAACCCCGGCGAGGGGAGUGAAAAAGAACCUGAAACCGUGUACGUACAAGCAGUGGGAGCACCUU